rnacentral:rRNA from 1 species
ACCUGCGGAAGGAUCAUUAUUGAAAUAAACCUGAUAAGUUGCUGCUGGCUCUCUAGAGAGCAUGUGCACACUUGUCAUUUUUGUGUCUUCACCUGUGCACCUUUUGUAGACCUGAAUAUCUUUCUGAUUGCUUUGGCACUUCAGGAUUGAGGAUUGACUUUGUUGUCUCUCCUUAUAUUUUCAGGUCUAUGUUUCUUCAUAUACCCUGAUGUAUGUCUAUAGAAUGUAUAAUUAAUGGGCCUUUGUGCCUAUAAACCUAUACAACUUUCAGCAACGGAUCUCUUGGCUCUCGCAUCGAUGAAGAACGCAGCGAAAUGCGAUAAGUAAUGUGAAUUGCAGAAUUCAGUGAAUCAUCGAAUCUUUGAACGCACCUUGCGCUCCUUGGUAUUCCGAGGAGCAUGCCUGUUUGAGUGUCAUUAAUAUUMUCAACCUCUUUUGGUUGGAUCUGGGUUUGCUGGCCUCUUCAGGUCAGCUCCCCUUAAAUGCAUUAGCAGACAAUAUUUUGCCAACUGUUCAUUGGUGUGAUAAUUAUCUAUGCCAUUGACUGUGAAGCAAGGUUCAGCUUCUAAUAGUCCAUUGACUUGGACAAAUUUUUUUUUUUUAUUAAUGUGGCCUCAAAUCAGGUAGGACUACCCGCUGAACUUAAGCAUAUCAAUAAGCGGAGGAAAAGAAACUAACAAGGAUUCCCCUAGUAACUGCGAGUGAAGCGGGAAAAGCUCAAAUUUAAAAUCUGGCAGUCUUUGGCUGUCCGAGUUGUAAUCUAGAGAAGCAUUAUCCGCGCUGGACCGUGUACAAGUCUCCUGGAAUGGAGCGUCAUAGAGGGUGAGAAUCCCGUCUUUGACACGGACUGCCAGGGCUUUUGUGAUGUGCUCUCAAAGAGUCGAGUUGUUUGGGAAUGCAGCUCAAAAUGGGUGGUAAAUUCCAUCUAAAGCUAAAUAUUGGCGAGAGACCGAUAGCGAACAAGUACCGYGAGGGAAAGAUGAAAAGAACUUUGGAAAGAGAGUUAAACAGUACGUGAAAUUGCUGAAAGGGAAACGCUUGAAGUCAGUCGCGUUGUCCAGGGAUCAACUCUUGCUUUUGCUUGGUGUACUUUCUGGUCAAUGGGUCAGCAUCAAUUUUGACUAUUGGAAAAAGAUCAGGGGAAUGUGGCAUCUUUGGAUGUGUUAUAGCCCUUGGUUGCAUACAAUAGUUGGGAUUGAGGAACUCAGCACGCCGCAAGGCCGAGUUUUUAACUACGUACGUGCUUAGGAUGCUGGCAUAAUGGCUUUAAUCGACCCGUCUG